UACGUAGGGUGCAAGCGUUGUCCGGAAUUAUUGGGCGUAAAGAGCUCGUAGGCGGUUUGUCGCGUCUGCUGUGAAAACUCAGGGCUUAACUCUGAGCUUGCAGUGGGUACGGGCAGACUAGAGUGCGGUAGGGGAGACUGGAAUUCCUGGUGUAGCGGUGAAAUGCGUAGAUAUCGUAAGGAAGACCAGUGGCGAAGGCGGGUCUCUGGACAGUUCCUGACG
rnacentral:rRNA from 1 species